AAUUAUUAAACAAGAAGAGAUCACAUAAAGAGUGAAGUGAAGAUAU
rnacentral:guide_RNA from 1 species